AACAAGUACUGAGCAUUUGAUGUAAAUCUUGUCAGGAGCCACACACACCAACUUUCUGUGCUCAGGGACCAGUGCAGUCUGUGUGGACCAGAACCAUAUGAAGUGGACUCAGGAGAUAGUCUCCAAGCCUGUCUCCUCAGAGUGAGCAGGCUAGGCUUCAGAAGGUAGGUUGAUUUUGCUGUCAUUGUUGUUAUUGACUUGAUGCUCAGUAAUCCAGAGCCAAUGAAGGCAAGAAUAAACUCUACCCAGCAGUCUUGCAAAGAUGUGUUGUGGGUUACAUGGGGACAACGAAGAGAUGGAUCAGCCCACAUCACCAUCAGGAAUGGAAAACCAAUUCAAAAUCCCUAUCCUACUGAUUUGGAGUUUUACAUACUUGUAAGACAAGAGGUAAUUAUACUCGAAUCAUUAAAGGAAGUGGUGACAGCUCUCCAACCUCUGA
rnacentral:lncRNA from 10 species